rnacentral:lncRNA from 1 species
UUCUUCUUCAUGUCAUCUUCCAUCCCAGCUGUCUCUAAAAUGCUUUGCUUGGAGGUUGAAUGUGAAGCAAGCCCGUCACUUCUCCUGGCUCCAGCUUCCUCAUCAACCAAGGACAGGCUGACACUCAGUGUACUCAGCUUGAUGGGGCUUGAGUCCUUCUGUCCUCAUAAGCUGAAGAAAUUGGACAGAAACACCAAGUUUCUGGAAGCUCCUGACACUCUGAAGAUGAGAUCUGGUCGCUGUCUGAUGGGUGGAAACACGUGGCAACAUCUCCUGAGUGAUAGCUGCAGUGGAGGUGGCUGUAGAGCUGUGAUCAGGACAGUGACAACCCUGCUGCCCUGCUGAUUUGAGAAUAUCUGGUUUUGAGAAGCAUAUUCCCCCUGAAGAUGGUGGGACUAAAAAAGGCAAGAUAUAUUUGUAUGUGUGUCCUCCAGCGGUAUUUGACAUCUCUCUAUCAUAUCACAUAGUGGCAUCAGUGGUCCUCAUGGUAUUGACAGUAUGGUUGAAGUCUUUACUGCACAUGAAUCCAAAGUUUAAAUGGUUAGGAAUUGAUCCACCUCUCUUAUCCCUUACCCCAUAUUAAAAAAAAUUCCCCUUUUCGCUUCUUUCUCUUUCUUCUACAUGUCUCAGACAAACAACAGUGAUGCUGGAAAUAGUACAAAAAGUUAAUAAUUGUGAAGUAUAAAUAUUGCAUUUUAAAAGUUUCAUAAAGCUACCAAGCAAUUCUGGUGGCUUUUUAGGUUUUAUGUACAUCAUAUAUAGCAGAAGAAAAUGCAUAACUUGAUCAUAAAGAAAAAAAAUAUUUAUUUUAAAAGAAUCCAAUAUGGGCAAUAUAUUGGAUAGCAAUAUGCAAUGUCAGCACCUCAUUUUCCAUUUUCUCUGUGGAAAAAGGAAAAAGUUAUAAAGAUCCAAAUACCAAAAGAUGCUGCUUCUUCCUGGAAAUGCCCUUGAAUAUUACUUUUGGGAGAAGAUGCCAUAUAUGGAAUUUGCUCUUCACUUCUCAGGAUUUUCCUAAUGUUUCACAGCUUGAAAAUUAUAUUGCUUCUGAUAAAGUCUGUAAGGCCUAGUUGAGGUUUGCCCUGAUGGGGCAGGAAAUGGACAUUCCCCAUAAACAAAAAAUCAAAAUUAACCAGAAUAAAAGGUUUAUUAUUUCCA